rnacentral:tRNA from 1 species
ACUUAGAUGGCAGAUUAAGUGCUAUAGUUUUAGAAAUUAUAUAUGAAUAUUUUAUUCUCUUAGUA